ensembl:lncRNA
GGCGGAUGGUGCCAUUUACUAAGUAACAGUGGAGGAGAAACAGGUUUGGAGGAAGAAAAUGACAUCUUUAUUUUGAGGUGCUUGUGGAAAUCCAAGUGGGGUCAGGUAGCAGUUGGUCAUGUAAAUUGUGAGUCCAGUUGAUGGAGAGGAGGGCUGGGCAUACAGUUUUGGGUGAUAACUGAAACUAUGGAUAUGGGUAAGAUUGCCAAGGGAGAAUCUGUAGAAUAAGAAGAACCCUGAUCAGAAUUCAGACACACAAGAGUUUUGGGGAGGGACAAGAAGAGUAGCAGUCAGGAAAGUGGUAGAAAACAUUAAGAGAGGAAAGUCUCGGAAAAGGUCAGGGAAGAAAAUGAUGACAGCAGGAGUGAGCUGUUUCUAAGGAGUUUAAGAGAAACCAGAAUGAAAGAGAGGUGAGACAAUGCAACGAGCAUAAAGAAAUACUGCAAAAAGUGUGGCUGUUAGGAGCAGGUGAGAUUGGCAGGUGAUAGGAGAUGCAGACAGAAGAGUUUUUUCCUUUUAAUUUUUACUCAAGAUGGGGUAGACUUGUGCCUGCUAGCAAGAAAAUUCUGUAGGUCGGAGUGUUGAAUGUAAAGGCCAAGUCAAAGUCAUUGAGGAGGCAGGACAUAGAUGAGACAUUAACCGCAGAUAAGAAGGAAAACAAGGAAUUCUUUGACUGUCCAGUGGUUAGGACACUUCCACUAUAGGGGGGCCUGGGUUUGAUCCCUGGUUUGGGAACCAAGAUCCACAUGCCCUGAGGCAUGGUCAAAAAAAACAGGGAAGCAAACAAACAAAGGAAAACAUCUCUUCUGCUUAGUGGAGGAAGAGGGGGAAAAGGAUGCCUAUAGAAGGGGGUAAGUUUGCUGAUCUGAUGGCAGGUGGCUAUGUUUUUCAUUUAUUCAUUCAACAAAUAUUUUUGAAUGCCUGGCACAUGCCAGGCACUGUUCUAGAUGCUAGCGAUACAAAGAGAAUAAAACAAGGUCUCCAUCUCCAUAGAACUUACAUAUCAGGCAGGUGGAUAGAGAAAUAUGUAUGUAUAUAUUUUUCAAAGCCCCAGUAGUUGGUCAGCGCUACGAGAAAACAAGAAAACGUAAAGAAGCUUAGGGAGGGAGACUUGAAAGGGUAUCUGUUUAAAUAGGGUGUCUAGGAUCAGCCUCUUUGAGGUGGGAAAUGAAAAGGCAAGGCAUUAAAGAUCUAGAAGGAUUAUUCCAGGCAGAGGAAACAACAGAUAUACAGGCUCUGAGGCAGGAGUAUAUUCGGCAGCAUCAAAGAGUAAUAGUAAGGAAGCUGUCUGAAACUAAGAUUAUAAAUCAGUUAUACUUCAAUUAAAAAAAACAGUAAGGAGGCCAGCACAGCUGCAGCAGAGGAAGGCAGGAGAGAGGGAUGAGAACGGUAGGCAAGGUUCUGGGCACAGAGGUCUAGUAGGCUGUGGUGGGGACUUUAGACCUUUAGUCUGAACGUGAUGAGGACUCUUGGAAGGUUUUGAACAGAGAAGUGACCGGAUACAAUCUGUGAACAAAUAAUCAGGCUCCGGUGCAGAAUAGACGGUAGAGAACAAGAGCGAAAGCAGG